rnacentral:rRNA from 1 species
GAUGAACGCUAGCGGCAGGCCUAAUACAUGCAAGUCGAACGAGAUUAAGAGGCUUGCUUCUUAUGAAAGUGGCGCACGGGUGCGUAACGCGUAUGCAACCUACCUUAAUCAGGGGGAUAGCCCGAAGAAAUUCGGAUUAAGACCGCAUAAAAACACAGGAUAGCAUUAUCCAAUGUUCAAAUAUUUAUAGGAUUAAGAUGGGCAUGCGUGUCAUUAGCUAGUUGGCGGGGUAACGGCCCACCAAGGCGACGAUGACUAGGGGAUCUGAGAGGAUGACCCCCCACCUGGGUAAGGGAAAACGGCCCAGACCCCUAGGGGAGGAAGCAGAAAGGAAAAUGGGUCAAGGGAGGGAACUCUGAACCAGCCAGCCCGGGGGAAGGAAGACAGCCCUCUGGGGCGAAACCUGCUUUUAUUCGGGAAAAAACCUUUCUACGUGUAGGAAGCUGAAUGUACCGAAGGAAAAAGGAUCGGCUAACUCCGU